GAAACAUGGCAUUCUUUGCAAGGGUCCGGAGGAAUUAGCACAAAAGAACACUUAUGAAUAUAAUUCUUUGUAAAAGCCAACGCUUUUCACUUAUGUAUUCAUGCCAUGUAAAUAAGUUUUGAUUGAUGGUAGUUUAUCAUUUUUACAAUUUAAUUCGGCAUAUGAAAAAUAGGAUGUUUAGUGUUAUAAAGGCACCAUAAACAGGAAGAUGGAAGUGAGAAUCAUACAUUUUCUACAAGCAUUUUUAAUAUUAAUUAUUAUAAAUUGUAAUUAUAUUAGCAUCAUACUAAUAUUAAUAUAACUUAACCAAUAUGCAUCUAUAUAAAAAUAGCAUAGCCCGUGCGGACGCACGGGUUGACGACUAGUUAUGUUCUAACUGGUUGGAAUCUAUCUACAAUCAAGUUGUUCUCAUGCAGAUGGUAGUACAUGUGCACGCCGUGGUUUACAUGUUAUUUUUGCUCUCUUGCUGCAAGAAUCGAAGAAAACUGUUGUCCACAUGAUGACAAUGUUACAUGAUGACAAUGUUAGAAUCCUUACUAUUUAUAACUUUUGUAUGCAUGAAAGAUUAAAAAUGAAAACAAUAAUUUCCCUGUUUGUGAGGUGUACUUAUUAAGACUGGUGGCAUUGGGGAAAUCAUUAUCAAUGUUCUUUUAUAACUUAUCUGGUAAACAUAGUGUUAGUUGAGAACCCAUUAUAAGAACAAUUACUUCCUGUCGAAUUACUGGGUUAAAUAUGCUCUUUUUGCCAUUGCGCUUUCCGUCAACUUGUUUGCUCAAGCUCUCUGGUUUGGUUCCAGGAACGCAGGACUACAACCAGCAGCGACCGUCUCAGGAGCUGGUCGCCAAGGAUUUGCACGGCACCGAGUGGAAGUUUCGCCACAUCUAUCGAGGAGAAGGGCCAUGCCUAGACAAGCAGAAAUAUGCGGCUGCCUCCGGCUGGGGCUGGUGCAUCUUGGGCUGGGGCUAGUGUUGUGCUGGAUCAGCACCAUCGGGGUUGGCUGGGUUGGAUCAGCUCCGCUUGGGAGAAGUUGCAGCGGUGCCUGAGCGACAAGGAGAAGGCCUGGGUGCUGAUGUGUCAUUGUAUUGUGUAGAUGUGCCAUUGUUUUAUUGUACAAUUCUGUCCGUUCUUGCUAUAUUCAUGUGUAAGGAAAUGUAUUCAUGAGAUAUAGUUAUUGUAUUUUGUGAUAUUAUAUGAUGGAUGAUUUUAAUUCAACUUGGAGUUUUCUUGA